rnacentral:lncRNA from 1 species
CUCGAGAUCAAAGUCUGAAGAAAUUCUAUACCAAACUCGUAUCUGGCUCAAAUUGUCCGAAUUCAGUAUAGAACUAUAGCCAUUGGGACCAGGUUUGCUCUGAUCGGCCAUUCCCAAGCAAAAGAGCUAAAAGGAUAUCUAAAGAAAGAAGAGAGGAAUGGGAAAAUAGAUGGGUAAGAAGAGAACAAUGAGAAAACCCACAUAAGGAUGAAAGGAAAAGACA